rnacentral:misc_RNA from 1 species
GAUGAAGAACGUAGCAAAAUGCGAUACUUGGUGUGAAUUGCAGAAUCCCGUGAACCAUCGAGUUUUUGAACGCAAGUUGCGCCCGAAGCCUUUUGGCCGAGGGCACAUCUGCCUGGGCGUCACGCAUCGCGUCGCCCCCCCACAAUUCUCCGUAAAGGGAACAUGUGUUUUGGGGGCGGAUAUUGGUCUCCCGUGCUCAUGGCGUGGUUGGCCGAAAUAGGAGUCCUUUCGAUGGACGCACGAACUAGUGGUGGUCGUAAAAACCCUCGUCUUUUGUUUCGUGCUGUUGCUCGCAAGGUAAACUCUUUAAAAACCCCAAUGCGUCGUCUCUUGACGACGCUUCGACCGCGACCCCAGGUCAGGCGGGACUACCCGCUGAGUUUAAGCAUAUCAAUAAGCGGAGGA